UAGAAUAUAGCUAAACAGAAAAGCAUCUCACUUACACCGAGAAAACAUUCGUGCAAAUCGAUUUAUUCUAA
rnacentral:tRNA from 1 species